ensembl:lncRNA
AUACAGGGGGCACUUAGGCCAAGUGCACAAAUUUUCAUUUUGAGUUGGGGGAUUAGCUCAAAUGGUAGAGCUUAGCAUGUGAGAAGUAGCGGGAUCAAUGCUUGAUUCUCCACUAAAGCUUAAUUAAUUAUGUGCCUGUGAUUAAUGGAAAACGACCAGAUUUGUAAAUAAACAUUGCUCACUUUGAAUCAGCAGGAUGCAUCAACGUGUCAUUGCAAAAGGACUUGUUGAAUGGCAUUAAUGUGUUUUUUCUUGAUGAUCUGAGCACAAUGGAUUAGCAGUCCAUUAUCUUAACCACUCGGCCACCUCGUCCUAUUUCUUUUGUUUUCAUAGGAUGAUUAGAUAAUUGUCAAUAUUGUAGCAUGUUUUUCAUGUUCCUGGGAAGUUUGUAAAGGCGUUAAAUGCAGGGGGGCACUUAGGUCAAGUACACAAGUUUGCAUUAUGUGUUGGGGAAUUAGCUCAAAUGGUAGAGCGCUCGCUUAGCAUGCGAGAAGUAGCGUGAUCAACGCCCGCAUUCUCCACUAAAACUUAAUUAAUUUUGUGCCUGCGAAUAGUGGAAAAUGACCAGAUUGAUAAACAACUGCUGCACAAUCGAAAUCAGCAGGAUGCACCUGCGUGUCGUUGCAAAAUGACUCGUUGAAUGCAUCAAUGCGGUUUUCUUGACGACAUUUCUGCAAACACUGACAUGGUAAGAGAGCAUCAGGUAAAUUCGACGAGAAUGGAAUUCGAACCCAUGCGUGCAGAGCACAAUGGUUUAGCAGUCCAUCAUCUUAACCACUCGGCCACCUCGUCCUAUUUCUUUUGUUUUCAUGGGAUGAUUAAAUGAAUGUCAAUAUUGUAGCAUGUUUUUCAUAUUCCUGGGAAGUUUGUAAAGGCGUUAAAUGCAGGGGGGCACUUAGGUCAAGUACACAAGUUUGCAUUAUGUGUUGGGGAAUUAGCUCAAAUGGUAGAGCGCUCGCUUAGCAUGCGAGAAGUAGCGGGAUCAACGCCCGCAUUCUCCACUAAAA